UACGUAGGCAGCAAGCGUUGUUCGGAGUUACUGGGCGUAAAGGGUGUGUAGGCGGUUCUUUAAGUUUGCUGUGAAAUCUCCCGGCUUAACCGGGAGGGUGCGGUGAAUACUGAGGGACUAGAGUACGGGAGAGGAAAGUGGGAUUCCUGGUGUAGCGGUGAAAUGCGUAGAUAUCAGGAGGAACACCGGUGGUGUAGACGGCUUUCUGGACCGACACUGACGCUGAGACACGAAAGCGUGGGUAGCAAACAGG
rnacentral:rRNA from 1 species